UGCCACAAUGAUGACAAUUAUUUGCUACUCUCGACUAGAUGGAUGACGAUAUAGCAACCACCAAUAAUCACAUUCUGAGGCA
ensembl:snoRNA SNORD24 Small nucleolar RNA SNORD24